rnacentral:lncRNA from 1 species
AAAUGAAUACCAAGCAACACUCAAACAAAGAAUUGCAUGCUAUACAAGUAAGAACAUAUAAACUCGUGUACACAGUCUCAUGCCUUCCUGUGCCUCCAGCAUCCCCUUCCUUCUCAGCUAUCAUUUACCCCACGUUACUCUCAGUGUUUCCUUCCCUUUCUGCCCUACUGCUAAGAAGCUCAAAGCUAAGGUUUCUACUCAAUUUCAAUAAGAAGUAGCAAUUCAGACUUUUUGUCAGUUACUGUACAUUUCCUAGCCCCUAUUACUUGAUUAUUGCUCCUUUAUACCAUUAUAAUGUGUAUGUGUGAGAAUAUGUGUAUCUUUUGGUUCUAACCUAUUAUUGAAAACUGCUUCAAAUCCUUACUGGAAGGAGUCUGGGUUUUUGUUUUUUAAUGUUGACAAUACUCUCUCAUUAAUUUUAAUAAUUAUCUAUCUCAAAACCUAGAUUAUAAGGACCUAGAAGGAUCUUGCUUGCUUCUAACAAUCCCCCAAAAGACUUAACGCUAGGCACAUGGUAGGCAUCCAGCUGAUACUGGCUGAUACAUAUUUUCAAAAGAGAUUUUAAUAAAAAAAGAAGAAGGCUGGAAGGAAAUAAAACAAUGACAGUAACAUGCGUUACGAUGUUGAGGUUAUAGGUUUCCUUUUCUCUGUUUUUCAAAUUUUCUGCAAUGUGCUUACAACUGUUUUUAUAACCACAACUCUUUUGAUGACGUCUUUUAAAAAUGAAAAAAACAAGUGACUAUACUGGAGUUGAGGUUCACCAGCAUGCAUCUUGGGAGACAUGAGCCCUAAACUGUGUCUUCAAGCAAAGGAAUUAAUUUAACACACACAACUGGCAGAGAGGAGAAGGGAAAUGUGUGCGAGAAAGCCCUGCAGUGGGACUGAGCAAAGUGCUCAUUCGAAAACAGCCUGCCUUGGAGAAGAAACCAGAGAGAAGGUUUGAGAAGGUUUCAAAGUCACGAGUUUGGCAUGAGGAGAGCUGGAGGAAGAGCCCAGGAGACAGUGAAGAGGAAGCAAGAGGCUGUAUAUGUAGCCAGCUGGGUUUGGGGGCACCUCAUGAGUAUCCCAUAGCACAAACGGGCAAACUCUGUUACUGGCACAUUAACUAAAAGACAAAACUCCACAUAAACCUGAGUCCUUCCAACCAACCCGGAGACUUACCCAAAUCUAAUCUAAAUAACAACAACAAAAAAGAAAAAAUCACUAUGAGCCUGUAAGUCAUUAAGGGGGUACAUCUUCAAAUGACAUGCUAUCACUAACCAUGGCUUAAAACCCCACAGAUCCCUAAAACUUAAAGUAUAAUAAUAAAUAAAAAUAAAAAAAUUUAAAAAUUAAAAAAAAAUUUUACAUUUAUCUUUAAGAAUUUGUGUUUGAGAAUAAUUAGCUCUUGCCAUUCUACUACUCUGUAUGUAUGUGGGUUAUCAUUCUUGUGUCUUUCUUCUGCUUGAGUAAAUAAAAAGCAAGAACAACAACAAAAAACCCCACAGAGGAGAAGACUUAGCAAUUGUAGUGAAUAUGGGCUGAAUUCAAAAAGUGGCCUGGAGAUUUUGCCUUGAAUUACUUGGGUGGGAUAAGGAUGAUGGCUCUAAUAGAACCAAGCAAAUGAAAUACUGAUAAGUAUUUGCAGAUAUUACAAAUAAAUUAUAAUAUGUAUUUUGUGUGUAUGUGUUUAACCAAGUUGCAAAGUAGUUAAAGUUCUUUUGUAUGAAUGAAAGUGGCAGGAUGACCCCAAUAUCUUCCAUGAAAGGAAAAAAUAAGUUGGGAGCAAAGUUAUUCAUAUUCUCUAUUCUCUUCUCUUUUCUACUAAACUUUGUCUCCUAAAGCCCACACAUUGUCAUGACUUAAGAAAAUCAUGUUCUCUUCUAGGUAGAUUUUGAUAUCUGAUUUUUAGCUGAAAUUAGAGCCAAUGUCUCUGGAAGUGACGUGCAAUGGGAACAUUAACCGUAAUUUAUUUUUUUUAUUUUUAUUUUUUUUGAGACAAAGUCUCA